GGAUUGUGGCUCAAUGGUAGAGCGCUUGCCUAGCAUGUGUGAGGCCCUGGGUUCUAUCCUCAGCACCA
rnacentral:tRNA from 1 species